UACGAAGGGGGCUAGCGUUGUUCGGAAUUACUAGGCGUAAAGGGCGCGUAGGCGGCCAAUCAAGUUAGGCGUGAAAUCCCUGGGCUUAACCUAGGAACUGCGUUUAAUACUGGUUGGCUAGAGAUUGGUAGAGGAAAGUGGAAUUCCUAGUGUAGAGGUGAAAUUCGUAGAUAUUAGGAAGAACACCAGAGGCGAAGGCGACUUUCUGGGCCAAUACUGACGCUGAGGCGCGAAAGCGUGGGGAGCAAACAGG
rnacentral:rRNA from 1 species